UAAUGAAUAGGUUUUCGUUUUCGAACCAAAUAAAAUGCCCACGCCAAGUCGAGAAAUCACGUGGAACGUUCGAUCUUGAUCUAAAACCAAAGCCAGCAAGCUUCUGUGUACAUCUAAUUAUCGUAGAAGCAAGAUAAUCUCCUAUCAAUAAAUAGUACAGUCUUCCUAUUCCCCCACCCAAAUCUAUCUCUAGAAUCAAAAUCUUCAACCCAUGUCAUCUGAUUCUCCGAGAAAACCAGAAGCUCAGUAUCUGCCUCUGGGAUCUCAACAUGGGCCAAAAGCUCAGUAAGUAUCUGCCAUUUGCUUUAGGGAUUCGUUUGUCUCCUCAUCGACCAGAUGAGACCACGGAAGGAACUUCUUCACAACCUUGUUUCAUUGGGACCAUUACGAAAGGUUUGGUGGAUUCAUCGAAGAAUGCUGUCAAGGCAGUACAGGUCAAGGCUCGACAUGCUGUUUCCCAGAACAAAAGAAGAUACCAGGUCCACUUAACUUAUACAAUUGAUUGCAUAUGCUAUGCCAAGCUGCUUAGGAAGGAGGGUUUGGAUUUGGAUUUGACUUACAUAACCCAGAACAUUAUUGCAAUGGGGUUUCCUGCUGGUCUGGUGAUAUGAGCUCUGGCUUUUUUGGAUAUGUUGAGGGUUUCUACCGCAACCAGAUGGAACAAGUUAUUACCUUUCUUGAAACUCGACACAAGGGAAAAUACAAAGUUUACAAUCUUUGUUCAGAGAGGUUGUAUGAUGUAUAUCGCUAUUUGAGGGAAAGGUGGCCAGUUUCCCAUUUGAUGACCAUAAUUGCCCACCAAUCCAUUUGAUUACAUCAUUUUGCCAAAGAGCAUAUUCCUGGUUAAAGGAGGACAUAGAGAAUGUUGUGGCUGGUCACUGUAAGGCUGGAAUGGCAAGGACCGGGCUCAUGAUAUGUAGUCUUCUGCUAUAU